CGGUCGAAAGGUUCGGACGUGUCAGCGUGGUCUCGCCGUGGAUUAUGAAAGUUCUUUUGCAACUGUCAAGGGGAACUUGUGCGCGGUCCUCGGUAGUACAGUCGGCAACGUGUUGGCUUCCUUCCCUAGCGCAAGAUCGCUGGUUCGAUACCCGUCGAGGGGGAGGGCGUCCAUCUGGGUUCUUUCCGUGUUCGCCGCUUCUGUGAUCUUGGAAGAUAGGGCAUUUCACACGUGUAGCUGCAGCGCUUCAGUGCGCUUUAGAAGGACGCUGUAACUGUGCACAUCGAAAAAAUAAUUUCUGAAAUCGUAUUCUGGAGAAUGUAGCGUACAAUGCGA